rnacentral:lncRNA from 1 species
ACCCUCCCGCAUCAGCACCGGCUGGGUGGGUGCGGAGUGCGCCAGCGGCCAAGUCAAGACUCCUUGAAUGCUCAGGUUAGGGGGCGCGGGCGGCAAGUGCGGCGACUCCCCGGGGCGCCUCCAACUUUCCGAAUCGCCCGCAGGGUUGCGGUGGAGCGCACGGUGUCCUUCAGUUAGGCGGUGGUCGAGGGGAGUUCCUCUGAGAUUUCUGGAGAAGGCGGUUACAUCCAAGACAAAUGCUGUUGCGCUCUGCGGAGACGCACCUUUGUUCUAUAGAGAUUUUGUUGUUGUUUAAGAAUCUUCCUGAAAAAACUAAUACAUAUGUAUUACAUGCUAACACACGCAUACAUUCUUGCGUAGAAUUGUACAUAACUCAGGAGUGUCUAGAGUGAAAAGACCGUAUCGCACUCCCUCCCACGG